ACACCGGCAGCUCAAGUGGUAGCCGCUUUUAUUGGGCCUAAAGCGUCCGUAGCCGGUCUGAUAAGUCUCUGGUGAAAUCCCACAGCUUAACUGUGGGGAUUGCUGGAGAUACUAUCAUGACUCGAGGUCGGGAGAGGCUGGAGGUACUCCCAGGGUAGGGGUGAAAUCCUGUAAUCCUGGGAGGACCACCUGUGGCGAAGGCGUCCAGCUGGAACGAACCUGACGGUGAGGGACGAAAGCCAGGGGCGCGAACCGGAUUAGAUACCCGGGUAGUCCUGGCCGUAAACGAUGUGGACUUGGUGUUGGGAUGGCUUCGAGCUGCCCCAGUGCCGAAGGGAAGAUGUUAAGUCCACCGCCUGGGAAGUACGGCCGCAAGGCUGAAACUUAAAUGAAUUGGCGGGG
rnacentral:rRNA from 1 species